CCAAGGACAUACUUCUUGCACAAUCGGCCAAGUAAUCUUCAUGGUCUCCAUCUGAGACUGAUCUACCUACCUUCGAAUCCAUCGACGGUACAGCGACAUCUUACGCACCGCCCUCGCCCUGAUGAAGAGGCGAUACUUUAUUU